rnacentral:lncRNA from 1 species
UGGAGAUGAGCCUCCAUGAAAGAAGAUGAGCCUUGAGCACAUUCAGGAAAUGCUUUCUAAUCAUUAUGUUCACUGCCGAGUUCCAGAGAUGCCAUCUCACCUGUAUUCUACCAGAAUGGAAAUCCCUGAAACUGUGAAGUGUUCAGCCUGCACAGCUGAGUAUGGCAAUCCUGUACUCCAACUUCCCCAGGUCCCCA